rnacentral:rRNA from 1 species
UACGUAGGUGGCGAGCGUUGUCCGGAUUUACUGGGCGUAAAGAGCGCGCAGGCGGUCGUACAAGUCGCGUGUGAAAGCCCCCCGGCUCAACUGGGGAGUGUCGUGCGAUACGGUCGAACUGGAGGCCAGUAGGGGGAUGCGGAAUUCCGGGUGUAGUGGUGGAAUGCGCAGAUAUCAGGAGGAACACCGGUGGCGAAGGCGGUUCUCUGGGCAUUACCUGACGCUGAGGAGCGAAAGUGUGGGGAGCGAACAGG